AUUGAACGCUGGCGGCAUGCUUUACACAUGCAAGUCGAACGGUAACAGGCCGCAAGGUGCUGACGAGUGGCGAACGGGUGAGUAAUGCAUCGGAACGUGCCCAGUCGUGGGGGAUAACUACUCGAAAGAGUAGCUAAUACCGCAUACGAUCUAUGGAUGACAGCGGGGGACCGUAAGGCCUCGCGCGAUUGGAGCGGCCGAUGUCAGAUUAGGUAGUUGGUGGGGUAAAGGCUCACCAAGCCAACGAUCUGUAGCUGGUCUGAGAGGACGACCAGCCACACUGGGACUGAGACACGGCCCAGACUCCUACGGGAGGCAGCAGUGGGGAAUUUUGGACAAUGGGCGCAAGCCUGAUCCAGCAAUGCCGCGUGCAGGAAGAAGGCCUUCGGGUUGUAAACUGCUUUUGUACGGAACGAAACGGCUCUGGUUAAUACCCGGGGCUAAUGACGGUACCGUAAGAAUAAGCACCGGCUAACUACGUG
rnacentral:rRNA from 1 species